rfam:Salmo salar isolate Sally breed double haploid chromosome ssa21, whole genome shotgun sequence.
UGGCUCAGUUGGUAGAGCAUGGUGUUUGCAACGCCAGGGUUGUGGGUUCGAUUCCAAU